rnacentral:rRNA from 1 species
GACGAACGCUGGCGGCGUGCCUAAUACAUGCAGGUAGAACGCACAGUUUAUACCGUAGCUUGCUACACCAUAGACUGUGAGUUGCGAACGGGUGAGUAACGCGUAGGUAACCUGCCUGGUAGCGGGGGAUAACUAUUGGAAACGAUAGCUAAUACCGCAUAAUAUUAAUUAUUGCAUGAUAAUUAAUUGAAAGGUGCAAUUGCACCACUACCAGAUGGACCUGCGUUGUAUUAGCUAGUAGGUGAGGUAACGGCUCACCUAGGCGACGAUACAUAGCCGACCUGAGAGGGUGAUCGGCCACACUGGGACUGAGACACGGCCCAGACUCCUACGAGAGGCAGCAGUAGGGAAUCUUCGGCAAUGGACGAAAGUCUGACCGAGCAACGCCGCGUGAGUGAAGAAGGUUUUCGGAUCGUAAAGCUCUGUUGUAAGAGAAGAACGAGUGUGAGAGUGGAAAGUUCACACUGUGACGGUAUCUUACCAGAAAGGGACGGCUAACUACGUG